CCCACUGAAGGUCAACUGGAGUCAGGGGACAAGAAACAGGAUGAAGGAAAGAAGACUGGACAGGAGGAAGAGAGAUGCAAAGUGAGAUGGGUUCCAGAGGUUCGGAGAGAGACAGGGCCUUGCUCUAUCACCCAGGCUGAAAUGCAACGUUGCAAUCAUGGCUUGCUGUAGCCUCAAGCUCCUGGACUCAGGUGAUUCUCUUAUCUCAGCUUCCUAAGUAGCUGGGACUACAGGGCUCAGUGUGGUCAAAAGAAGACUAUAGAAUCAAGGAUGAAGAGAAGGAACACAAAAUAAAAGGACGUCUCAGCAGGAAGCUCUGUGACUACUAUACCAAAUGAUGCCAUACAAUGAAGCACCUUGAAAGAUUGCUGGGAUAAGCUGACAGCAUGGCAGCCAAAAUAGUGACUCCAGGCUUGCAGGAAUUUUGUGCUUUCUGGAGAAAAUGGUCAUGGGUUUCCCAACCUGCCUUUUAAACUAAGGACCAAGCUGAAGAAGCCCCUGUUUUCCAGGGCAUGUUAUUCCCAUGACAGAUGCUAAAAGUUCAAAGGGAGAGCUACAAGAAGUACAUUUUCCUGUGGAUACUUUCAUAUCUGGAUGCAAUGCCUAGACCUGCAUCCAUCUUGCGACCAACCUGAAGAUGAAUCGAAAGGAAGGAAGGAUGGCCCAAUACCCUGGGAAGAACUGGUGUUCCUGAUCCCAUCAUUAACCACAGAAUCUACAAUCCCUGAACCCCCCAUCCUUAACCAUGGAAUCUACAAUCCUAGCUCUAGACCCUUUGUCCAGAAGCUACAGUUUCUUUGUUCAAUCUAGUUUGUGUCAGGAUUUCUGUUCAUUACAUCAAAAGUAUUCUAAUACUUGUAGCAAAGCAACUGGAGAAGUUUUCACUUUGUCUUUAACCAAAGAAGACUUCCAGGAAACAUCUCCUCAGUGGGUUUCUCCCUCACCACUGGAUUUUUGUCUCUGUACUAGUGCUUUGAUUUGUUUUAGGAGUCUCACCUCUCCACCUGUCAUAUUCCCCUGGCAGGCUCAUUUCUGCUAAUUCCCACAAUAUGCUUCUCAAUGAGCUUUCAACCUUAGGUACACAGCUCUUCAGGCAUGUAUAGCACAUUAAUCUGUCUGCUUCUAAGUGGUCUGUUGACAUGUUUGGGUGCCAGUUAUACCUACAAGGCUGUGGUCAUUGUCCUGGCUUAUUCUGUUUGUUCUCUCUGCAAGAUACAUGAGGACACCCAAGGCCAUGGCCAUCACUUACAUCUAAGAUUCAAUCUUAUCUCCUGUGAAUCACUGGAAACCUCCUGUCCUGGAACCCUUUUUUCCCACAUCCCACUGGAUGUCAUUCAUAGCAACUGGUCUUGUGAGUUGUCUGUUUUAUUGUGUUGUCUUACUCUUCCUCCCGGUAUCAGUUUUUAAAUCCUCUUGAUGAGAUCAGCUGAUCAAUCGCUAAGAAACAUAGUCCCCCAUGUCUUUGUAAGAUUCUCUGCACUCAUGGCUAGAAUGAUUUAUUCUCGUAUCUUAAGCUGUGUUUCAGAACCUCAUUCUAAAUAUCAACCUAUUCUUAUAAAUCCACUACUGAUCAUCUUUAGAUAUUCUUCAGUCUUCCAGAGUUCCAAAGGGCAGUAGGAAGAAGCAAUGAAAAUACCACCUGUAUUCUCACAUCUUUGAUUUUUCCACUCAAAAAAUACCACCAUGUUCACUCCUGGCGGAACGUUUAUGUCCAUGAGAAGCAGUGGCUGUGAAGAGUUUUGGCAGACUCUUUAUUGCGCCUUACUCAACACUGGGAAGGUAUCUUGCCAUCAGACCUUUUGGGUCUCCAUGAAACUUUUUAUACCCCCUCUAGGAAAAGUCACUAACUGUGAUCUUUCUGAGCUUCUAAACGCAGCAUUUUUUUUUACACUUAAGUGAGCGGGGGUCCUCCUCAUUUGUGCUUCUCUUCCUGUAAGGGUGACUUCCUCCCAGUAGGAUGAAUCUCAUGCCUAUUUGUGUUAUUUUUCUAAUUCCAGCCUCUUUUCUACUCAGGGGGGUUCCAACUCUUUUCAGGUCUCAUCUUCAGCACUUCUAAACUGUGGGAAACUAUGUGAAAACAAAUGGAGUGGCCAAACACACCAUUCAUCACUGUGCUUCUGGACAGCUGCAAGUCCAUACAUGUUCCAAUAAUUCAAUACAAGAAAGAAGAUUUGCUUGGGAAGGUCUGAAUGGCCCUAGCUUUGUUUGUUAACCAUAACCUCUACCAGCUGGAAACACAAUGCCCCACUAAUACUAACAGUGCCUGCUUGUCCAAACAGCAUUCUGGCCACUUACAGCAAUUGACACAAAUUCUAACAGGUAGAUGGGGCAAAGCAUUACCUUGUGUAAAACUGCUGCUAAAAUAUAUUCCUAGUGAGAAAGGUCAACUUGUGGGCUAAAGUCCUUGUCACCUCCUGAUCAGUUUUCACUUAGGGCACAGCAGUCUGCCAUUCACCGUUGGGAUUUUUGUAUGUUUCUUCUCUCUUAUGAAAGGAAAUAUUGAGUGAUCUAGGACUUGGCUGCCUACAUCAAGUAGAGGGGGACCCACAUGAUUCACUAAGGGGCCUCAGUUCUGAAUAUUUCUCAUUAUUCAAAAAUGCAAAGCCAUUGUCAUUACGUGGUAGUUCACUGGAACCAACGGAGGAAUUGGUCCCUUUUCAUGUUCUUCUCCUAAAUAGAGAAAAGGUAAUUAAAACUUGGAGCUUAAU
rnacentral:antisense_RNA from 1 species